rnacentral:rRNA from 1 species
GACGAACGCUGGCGGCGUGCUUAACACAUGCAAGUCGAACGGAAAGGCCCCCUUGUGGGGUACUCGAGUGGCGAACGGGUGAGUAACACGUGAGUAACCUACCCUUGACUUUGGGAUAACUUCAGGAAACUGGGGCUAAUACCGGAUAGGAGCUCCUGCUGCAUGGUGGGGGUUGGAAAGUUUCGGCGGUUGGGGAUGGACUCGCGGCUUAUCAGCUUGUUGGUGGGGUAGUGGCUCACCAAGGCUUUGACGGGUAGCCGGCCUGAGAGGGUGACCGGCCACAUGGGGACUGAGAUACGGCCCAGACUCCUACGGGAGGCAGCAGGGGGGAAUAUUGCACAAGGGGGGGAAGCCUGAUGCAGCAACGCCGCGGGCGGGAUGACGGCCUUCGGGUUGUAAACCGUUUUCGCCUGUGACGAAGCGUGAGUGACGGUAAUGGGAAAAGAAGCACCGGCUAACUACGU